UACGUAGGGGGCGAGCGUUGUCCGAAGUUACUGGGCGUAAAGGGCUCGUAGGCGGCCAACUAAGUCGGAUGUGAAAUCCCCAGGCUUAACCUGGGAACUGCAUCCGAUACUGGAUGGCUUGAAUCCGGGAGAGGGAUGCGGAAUUCCAGGUGUAGCGGUGAAAUGCGUAGAUAUCUGGAGGAACACCGGUGGCGAAGGCGGCAGCCUGGACCGGCAUUGACGCUGAGGAGCGAAAGCCAGGGGAGCAAACGGG
rnacentral:rRNA from 1 species